rnacentral:rRNA from 1 species
GAUGAACGCUGGCGGCGUGCCUAAUACAUGCAAGUCGAGCGAACAGACGAGAGUGCUUGCACUCUCUGACGUUAGCGGCGGACGGGUGAGUAACACGUGGGUAACCUACCUAUAAGACUGGGAUAACUUCGGGAAACCGGAGCUAAUACCGGAUAAUAUUUAGCUUCGCAUGAAGCAAUAGUGAAAGACGGUUCUGCUGUCACUUAUAGAUGGACCCGCGGUGUAUUAGCUAGUUGGUGAGGUAACGGCUCACCAAGGCAACGAUACAUAGCCGACCUGAGAGGGUGAUCGGCCACACUGGGACUGAGACACGGCCCAGACUCCUACGGGAGGCAGCAGUAGGGAAUCUUCCGCAAUGGACGAAAGUCUGACGGAGCAAUGCCGCGUGAGUGAAGAAGGUUUUCGGAUCGUAAAACUCUGUUGUAAGGGAAGAACAAGUACGUUAGUAACUGAACGUACCUUGACGGUACCUUACCAGAAGGCCACGGCUAACUACGUG